GUUCAGCUGGUGUGGCAGGAUCGGGCGCGAUAGGCGACGGUGACCCGAGGAAGCCGGUGAGAUUCCGGAGCGGUCCCGCCACUGUGAUCGGCACGUCCGAGAGCCAGACACUCGACUCGUCGCCUCCUCACGA
rnacentral:ncRNA from 2 species